AUGCAAGUCGAGGGGUAACAGAGAAAAGCUUGCUUUUUUGCUGACGACCGGCGCACGGGUGCGUAACGCGUAUGCAAUCUACCUUUUGCUAAGGGAUAGCCCAGAGAAAUUUGGAUUAAUACCUUAUAGUAUGAUGACUUGGCAUCAAGAUAUCAUUAAAGGUUACGGCAAAAGAUGAGCAUGCGUUCUAUUAGCUAGUUGGUAUGGUAACGGCAUACCAAGGCAACGAUAGAUAGGGGUCCUGAGAGGGAGAUCCCCCACACUGGUACUGAGACACGGACCAGACUCCUACGGGAGGCAGCAGUGAGGAAUAUUGGACAAUGGAGGCAACUCUGAUCCAGCCAUGCCGCGUGCAGGAAGACUGCCCUAUGGGUUGUAAACUGCUUUUAUACAGGAAGAAACACCUCUACGUGUAGAGAUUUGACGGUACUGUAAGAAUAAGGAUCGGCUAACUCCGUGCCAGCAGCCGCGGUAAUACGGAGGAUCCA
rnacentral:rRNA from 1 species